CAGCCGCCGCGGUAAUACGAAGGGGGCUAGCGUUGUUCGGAAUUACUGGGCGUAAAGCGCACGUAGGCGGAUAUUUAAGUCAGGGGUGAAAUCCCAGAGCUCAACUCUGGAACUGCCUUUGAUACUGGGUAUCUUGAGUAUGGAAGAGGUGAGUGGAAUUCCGAGUGUAGAGGUGAAAUUCGUAGAUAUUCGGAGGAACACCAGUGGCGAAGGCGGCUCACUGGUCCAUUACUGACGCUGAGGUGCGAAAGCGUGGGGAGCAAACAGGAUUAGAUACCCCAGAGUCCCUGUCUCUUAUACC
rnacentral:rRNA from 1 species